GUAAUCACUUGUCCCCUAAAUAGGGACCAGUAUGAACGGCUAAAUGAGGGCCUAACUGUCUCCUAUGGCCAAUCAAUGAAACUGAUCUUCCAGUAAAAAAGCUGGAAUAAACCCACAAGACGAGAAGACCCUGUGGAGCUUUAAACUAAUAUACUAUCACAUCAACCCUUAUACCAAAAUGGUUCAAUAGUAAAAAAUAAUAGUAUAAACUUUAAGUUGGGGCAACUACGGAAUAAAAAAAACCUUCCAUGCAACAGGAUAUAUUAUCCAUUAAAGGACUACAAACCAAAAAUAUUUUAUGUAAACGACCCAGUAACACUGAACAACGAACCAAGUUACCCCAGGGAUAACAGCGCCAUCCUCUUCUAGAGUCCCCAUCGCCAAGAGGGUUUACGACCUCGAUGUUGGAUCAGGGCCCCCAGGCGGUGCAGCCGCUGCCAACGGUUCGUUUGUUCAACGAUUGAUGCCCUACGUGAUCU
rnacentral:rRNA from 1 species